rnacentral:rRNA from 1 species
CGGCGUGCCUAACACAUGCAAGUCGAACGAAUCAAUUAAGAUGAAGUUUUCGGAUGGAAUCUUGAUUGACUGAGUGGCGGACGGGUGAGUAACGCGUGGAUAACCUGCCUCACACUGGGGGAUAACAGUUAGAAAUGACUGCUAAUACCGCAUAAGCGCACAGUGCCGCAUGGCAGUGUGUGAAAAACUCCGGUGGUGUGAGAUGGAUCCGCGUCUGAUUAGCCAGUUGGCGGGGUAACGGCCCACCAAAGCGACGAUCAGUAGCCGACCUGAGAGGGUGACCGGCCACAUUGGGACUGAGACACGGCCCAAACUCCUACGGGAGGCAGCAGUGGGGAAUAUUGCACAAUGGGCGAAAGCCUGAUGCAGCGACGCCGCGUGAGUGAAGAAGUAUUUCGGUAUGUAAAGCUCUAUCAGCAGGGAAGAAAAUGACGGUACCUGACUAAGAAGCCCCGGCUAACUACGUGCCAGCAGCCGCGGUAAUACGUAGGGGGCAAGCGUUAUCCGGAUUUACUGGGUGUAAAGGGAGCGUAGACGGCGAAGCAAGUCUGAAGUGAAAACCCAGGGCUCAACCCUGGGACUGCUUUGGAAACUGUUUUGCUAGAGUGUCGGAGAGGUAAGUGGAAUUCCUAGUGUAGCGGUGAAAUGCGUAGAUAUUAGGAGGAACACCAGUGGCGAAAGCGGCUUACUGGACGAUAACUGACGUUGAAGCUCGAAAGCGUGGGGAGCAUACAAGAUUAUAUACCCUGGUAGUCCACGCCGUAAACGAUGAAUGCUAGGUGUUGGGGGGCAAAGCCCUUCGGUGCCGCCGCAAACGCAGUAAGCAUUCCACCUGGGGAGUACGUUCGCAAGAAUGAAACUCAAAGGAAUUGACGGGGACCCGCACAAGCGGUGGAGCAUGUGGUUUAAUUCGAAGCAACGCGAAGAACCUUACCAAGUCUUGACAUCCCCCUGACGGGCCGGUAACGCGGCCUUUCCUUCGGGACAGGGGAGACAGGUGGUGCAUGGUUGUCGUCAGCUCGUGUCGUGAGAUGUUGGGUUAAGUCCCGCAACGAGCGCAACCCUUAUCCUUAGUAGCCAGCACGUGAAGGUGGGCACUCUAGGGAGACUGCCAGGGGUAACCUGGAGGAAGGUGGGGAUGACGUCAAAUCAUCAUGCCCCUUAUGAUUUGGGCUACACACGUGCUACAAUGGCGUAAACAAAGGGAAGCGAGACAGUGAUGUGGAGCAAAUCCCAAAAAUAACGUCCCAGUUCGGACUGUAGUCUGCAACCCGACUACACGAAGCUGGAAUCGCUAGUAAUCGCGAAUCAGAAUGUCGCGGUGAAUACGUUCCCGGGUCUUGUACACACCGCCCGUCACACCAUGGGAGUCAGCAACGCCCGAAGUCAGUGACCCAACCGAAAGGAGGGAGCUGCCGAAGGCGGGGCAGGUAACUGG